AGGGGCAGCAUGAACUUAGCUUGCUAAGUUUGAUGGCGACCGGCGCACGGGUGAGUAACGCGUAUCCAACCUUCCGCAUACUCGGGAAUAGCCUUUCGAAAGAAAGAUUAAUGCCCGAUGGUUUCCCGAAUCCGCAUGAGCGCGGGAAUAAAGAUUCAUCGGUAUGCGAUGGGGAUGCGUCCCAUUAGCUUGUUGGCGGGGUAACGGCCCACCAAGGCUACGAUGGGUAGGGGGUUCUGAGAGGAAGGUCCCCCACAUUGGAACUGAGACACGGUCCAAACUCC
rnacentral:rRNA from 1 species